AGUCUCUGCUGAGUAGCUUAGAGGGCGACAGCUACAGCCUGGAGGAGUGUCGACUCUUCAUACUGCAGUGGGCCAAGGAGCUCAACAACCUGCCCCAGUUGUGUGGAGCCCCUGAUGUGUGUGGGAGCUGGGAGCAGUAUGAGGAGAAGAAAGAGACCCAUCCAGAGGAGGCCGACAGGAGACUGAAGGCGGCCCAGAAACUGCUCUCCUCCUGGGCCACACAGCUGGACACACAGCCCCAGACUCACAGUAAGCGUCCUGGUCCAACGCUCUGUCGUCCACAAACUAAAGACAUUUCUCCAGAGUGUGUUAUCUGCCAACAAGACACCAGUGGAGUCAGUUGAUCAGCCUGCCACGCCUGAUCAGAGGCCUGAACUGCCUGCAUCUUCCCUCAAGGUUCCUCAU